AUUGAACGCUGGCGGCACGCUUUACACAUGCAAGUCGGACGGCAGCACAGAGAAGCUUGCUUCUUGGGUGGCGAGUGGCGCACGGGUGAGUAAUAUAUCGGAACGUACCGAGUAAUGGGGGAUAACUAAUCGAAAGAUUAGCUAAUACCGCAUAUUCUCUGAGGAGGAAAGCAGGGGACCUUCGGGCCUUGCGUUAUUCGAGCGGCCGAUAUCUGAUUAGCUAGUUGGUGGGGUAAAGGCCUACCAAGGCGACGAUCAGUAGCGGGUCUGAGAGGAUGAUCCGCCACACUGGGACUGAGACACGGCCCAGACUCCUACGGGAGGCAGCAGUGGGGAAUUUUGGACAAUGGGCGCAAGCCUGAUCCAGCCAUGCCGCGUGUCUGAAGAAGGCCUUCGGGUUGUAAAGGACUUUUGUCAGGGAAGAAAAGGCUGUUGCUAAUAUCAAUAGCUGAUGACGGUACCUGAAGAAUAAGCACCGGCUAACUACGUG
rnacentral:rRNA from 1 species